rnacentral:rRNA from 1 species
GAUGAACGCUAGCGGGAGGCUUAACACAUGCAAGUCGAGGGGCAUCACGGGGUAGCAAUACUCUGGUGGCGACCGGCGCACGGGUGAGUAACACGUAUGCAACCUACCCUGUACAGGGGGAUAGCCCGGAGAAAUUCGGAUUAAUACCCCAUAAAGAUAUCUGGAGGCAUCUUUGGAUAUUUAAAGUUUCGGCGGUACGGGAUGGGCAUGCGUAACAUUAGCUAGUUGGUAGGGUAACGGCCUACCAAGGCAACGAUGUUUAGGGGUCCUGAGAGGGUGAUCCCCCACACUGGUACUGAGACACGGACCAGACACCUACGGGUGGCAG